rnacentral:rRNA from 1 species
UACGAAGGGGGCUAGCGUUGUCCGGAAUCAUUGGGCGUAAAGCGCGUGUAGGCGGCUCGGUAAGUCUGCUGUGAAAGUCCAGGGCUCAACCCUGGGAUGCCGGUGGAUACUGUCGAGCUCGAGUCCGGAAGAGGCGAGUGGAAUUCCUGGUGUAGCGGUGAAAUGCGCAGAUAUCAGGAGGAACACCGAUGGCGAAGGCAGCUCGCUGGGACGUGACUGACGCUGAGACGCGAAAGCGUGGGGGGCAAACAGG